rnacentral:sRNA from 1 species
GGUCGUCGCGCAUGCGCGGGGGUGGGUAAGGCAGUGGUCGGCGACCCGCAGUCCGUCUGACUCCUGCUUCCCGGGUGUUGCUCGUGACAAGGAAGAUGGGGAGCCAAAGACCAAGCAUCUCAGAGAAGAGGAGGAAGAAGGCGAGAAGCACAGGGAACUUAGGCUGCGGAACUAUGUCCCGGAGGAUGAGGACCUGAAGAAGAGGAGGGUGCCCCAGGCCAAACCGGUUGCAGGUAAGCAGGCUGCCCCUCUCCACCUCUGCUUCCUGGCACUGUCAGCCGCCCUUCACCUCAGCAGGCUUUGCUCUCUGAGAAUAACCAGCAGUACCAGGACAGGAAUUGGGCCUUUGUUACCAUCUCAUGGCAGAUGCGCACAGUCGGCCUUC